rnacentral:snRNA from 1 species
AGCUCUGCACGGUGGCAGUAUCGUAGCCAAUGAGGUUUAUCCGAGGCGCGAUUAUUGCUAUUUUCCACUUCCUUCUCUGUUCUUCAUACCAGUAAAACUGUUUUUUUGUUUGUUUGUUUGCUGCUGAAAUAUAGAAUACACUGUUUAAAGAAAGGUACUUCAU